rnacentral:rRNA from 1 species
UCGCCAGAGUACUACUAGCAACAGCUUAAAACUCAAAGGAUUUGGCGGUGCUUUAAACCCACCUAGAGGAGCCUGUUCUAUAAUCGAUGAACCCCGCUAAACCUCACCACUUCUCGCUAAACCAGUCUAUAUACCGCCAUCUUCAGCAAACA